rnacentral:RNase_P_RNA from 1 species
CCAGACGGCCGGGCAGCCGCUGGCAGGUUGGUAACGACCUGUUGGAGGAAAGUCCGGGCUCCAGGGAAACAGGGCGACGGCUAAUGGCCGCCCGGCGCGAGCCGAGGGAAAGUGCCACAGAAAGCAAACCGCCUCCCCUCGCGGGAGGUAAGGGUGAAAGGGUGGGGUAAGAGCCCACCGCGGGACUGGCGACAGGACCGGCACGGUAAACCCCGCCCGGAGCAAGACCGAAUAGGGGGCGCGUAUGGGCCGUUUUCCGCCCGCGCCCCGGGUGUGUCGCGUGAGGUGCCUGGCAACAGGCAUCCCAGAGGAAUGGCUGCCAGACCUGAGCAAUCAGGCGAACAGAACCCGGCUUACAGGCCGUCUGGUCUU